UCUGCCCUGCCUGUAUUUAAGUCUUGUCUCUCCCUUCCUCUUGUGCUGGUCUAUUAACGUCUGUAACGUCUCUUAACGUCUUCAUGCCUCGUCAUCCCUUCAUGCCUUGUUCCAUGUUUCAUGCCACGCCACAAAUCCAGGAGAUCAAUGCUGUCCAGGCUCUUGCUCCUGUGGAUGCGACCCUUGAUUCGCCGGAGUGAUGGCUUGCCCUGAACGGUGCUCGCGGAGGAGCCUGCAGUGAUGGAGCCGGCGGUCGGACUCGGGUGAAUCCUGACACCGGCAGAGAAAAAGGCGGAAAAAGAAAUGCAACUGUGAAAUGCAACUGUAAGACUGCCAUGAGCUGAAAUGUGGAGGAAAACUUUGGCCUAGCUGCUUUGCAGAAGGCCACAGGAAGCUGCUGGAUGAUGGCAUUUAGAAACAUGUGUAUUAAAUGUCAGUGGAUUUUAUUUUCCCAGUAAUGGAAAUGAUGAGAGGUCAGUAAUCACUGCAGCAUUAGAAGAGGAAGCUAAGUCAUGGUGGUUUGAUAGAGUAGCUAUAUGACGUCCUUAAAUGGAAUUCAUGGAGCCCUGCUGAACACAAUAAAACCCCCACGGCUCCAGCUAUCUUUCUUCUAUUUUAUUUCCUAAAUUGAUCCAUACAGGCAAUGACUGAAGAAUGUUAAUAACCUUUCACACUCUUACCUAUGUUUUCUAAACUGAAUGCCGUUUCAGUGAGAACUUUUUAUUAAUUCAGCUUUAAUAUAGGGUAGAAAAAAGGAAUACUUUACAAAUCGGUGGCUGGGUUUUGAUAGUGUAGUUGGCAGUUGCUAAAUAAGUAUUACAGAUCUUGCUUUUAAACUGUCAGGAUGUCAGUUUUAAUGCAGUAAUAAUAUUUUCAAAUUAUUGCAUCAGUGAAAUAAAAUAUUCUGAAAAUGCA